rnacentral:rRNA from 1 species
GAUGAACGCUGGCGGCGUGCCUAAUACAUGCAAGUCGAGCGAACGGACGAGAAGCUUGCUUCUCUGAUGUUAGCGGCGGACGGGUGAGUAACACGUGGAUAACCUACCUAUAAGACUGGGAUAACUUCGGGAAACCGGAGCUAAUACCGGAUAAUAUUUUGAACCGCAUGGUUCAAAAGUGAAAGACGGUCUUGCUGUCACUUAUAGAUGGAUCCGCGCUGCAUUAGCUAGUUGGUAAGAUAACGGCUUACCAAGGCAACGAUGCAUAGCCGACCUGAGAGGGUGAUCGGCCACACUGGAACUGAGACACGGUCCAGACUCCUACGGGAGGCAGCAGUAGGGAAUCUUCCGCAAUGGGCGAAAGCCUGACGGAGCAACGCCGCGUGAGUGAUGAAGGUCUUCGGAUCGUAAAACUCUGUUAUUAGGGAAGAACAUAUGUGUAAGUAACUGUGCACAUCUUGACGGUACCUAAUCAGAAAGCCACGGCUAACUACGUG